rnacentral:tRNA from 1 species
GAGAUUAGAGCUCAGUGGUAGAGCAUGUGCUUAGCAUGCACGAGGUCCUGGGUUCCAUCCCCAGUACUUGCA